rnacentral:rRNA from 1 species
GAUGAACGCUAGCUACAGGCUUAACACAUGCAAGUCGAGGGGAAACGACAUCGAAAGCUUGCUUUUGACGGGCGUCGACCGGCGCACGGGUGAGUAACGCGUAUCCAACCUGCCCAUCACUUGGGGAUAACCUUGCGAAAGUAAGACUAAUACCCAAUGAUAUCUCUAGAAGACAUCUGAAAGAGAUUAAAGAUUUAUCGGUGAUGGAUGGGGAUGCGUCUGAUUAGCUUGUUGGCGGGGUAACGGCCCACCAAGGCAACGAUCAGUAGGGGUUCUGAGAGGAAGGUCCCCCACAUUGGAACUGAGACACGGUCCAAACUCCUACGGGAGGCAGCAGUGAGGAAUAUUGGUCAAUGGGCGAGAGCCUGAACCAGCCAAGUAGCGUGCAGGAAGACGGCCCUAUGGGUUGUAAACUGCUUUUAUAAGGGAAUAAAGUGAGAGUCGUGACUCUUUUUGUAUGUACCUUAUGAAUAAGGACCGGCUAAUUCCGUG